CUGUGAGCUCGAUGAGUAGGGCGGGACACGUGGUAUCCUGUCUGAAUAUGGGGGGACCAUCCUCCAAGGCUAAAUACUCCUGACUGACCGAUAGUGAACCAGUACCGUGAGGGAAAGGCGAAAAGAACCCCGGCGAGGGGAGUGAAAAAGAACCUGAAACCGUGUACGUACAAGCAGUGGGAGCACGCUUAGGCGUGUGACUGCGUACCUUUUGUAUAAUGGGUCAGCGACUUAUAUUCUGUAGCAAGGUUAACCGAAUAGGGGAGCCGAAGGGAAACCGAGUCUUAACUGGGCGUUAAGUUGCAGGGUAUAGACCCGAAACCCGGUGAUCUAGCCAUGGGCAGGUUGAAGGUUGGGUAACACUAACUGGAGGACCGAACCGACUAAUGUUGAAAAAUUAGCGGAUGACUUGUGGCUGGGGGUGAAAGGCCAAUCAAACCGGGAGAUAGCUGGUUCUCCCCGAAAGCUAUUUAGGUAGCGCCUCGUGAAUUCAUCUCCGGGGGUAGAGCACUGUUUCGGCAAGGGGGUCAUCCCGACUUACCAACCCGAUGCAAACUGCGAAUACCGGAGAAUGUUAUCACGGGAGACACACGGCGGGUGCUAACGUCCGUCGUGAAGAGGGAAACAACCCAGACCGCCAGCUAAGGUCCCAAAGUCAUGGUUAAGUGGGAAACGAUGUGGGAAGGCCCAGACAGCCAGGAUGUUGGCUUAGAAGCAGCCAUCAUUUAAAGAAAGCGUAAUAGCUCACUGGUCGAGUCGGCCUGCGCGGAAGAUGUAACGGGGCUAAACCAUGCACCGAAGCUGCGGCAGCGACGCUGAUGCGUUGUUGGGUAGGGGAGCGUUCUGUAAGCCUGCGAAGGUGUGCUGUGAGGCAUGCUGGAGGUAUCAGAAGUGCGAAUGCUGACAUAAGUAACGAUAAAGCGGGUGAAAAGCCCGCUCGCCGGAAGACCAAGGGUUCCUGUCCAACGUUAAUCGGGGCAGGGUGAGUCGACCCCUAAGGCGAGGCCGAAAGGCGUAGUCGAUGGGAAACAGGUUAAUAUUCCUGUACUUGGUGUUACUGCGAAGGGGGGACGGAGAAGGCUAUGUUGGCCGGGCGACGGUUGUCCCGGUUUAAGCGUGUAGGCUGGUUUUCCAGGCAAAUCCGGAAAAUCAAGGCUGAGGCGUGAUGACGAGGCACUACGGUGCUGAAGCAACAAAUGCCCUGCUUCCAGGAAAAGCCUCUAAGCAUCAGGUAACAUCAAAUCGUACCCCAAACCGACACAGGUGGUCAGGUAGAGAAUACCAAGGCGCUUGAGAGAACUCGGGUGAAGGAACUAGGCAAAAUGGUGCCGUAACUUCGGGAGAAGGCACGCUGAUAUGUAGGUGAAGUGAUUUACUCAUGGAGCUGAAAUCAGUCGAAGAUACCAGCUGGCUGCAACUGUUUAUUAAAAACACAGCACUGUGCAAACACGAAAGUGGACGUAUACGGUGUGACGCCUGCCCGGUGCCGGAAGGUUAAUUGAUGGGGUUAGCGCAAGCGAAGCUCUUGAUCGAAGCCCCGGUAAACGGCGGCCGUAACUAUAACGGUCCUAAGGUAGCGAAAUUCCUUGUCGGGUAAGUUCCGACCUGCACGAAUGGCGUAAUGAUGGCCAGGCUGUCUCCACCCGAGACUCAGUGAAAUUGAACUCGCUGUGAAGAUGCAGUGUACCCGCGGCAAGACGGAAAGACCCCGUGAACCUUUACUAUAGCUUGACACUGAACAUUGAGCCUUGAUGUGUAGGAUAGGUGGGAGGCUUUGAAGUGUGGACGCCAGUCUGCAUGGAGCCGACCUUGAAAUACCACCCUUUAAUGUUUGAUGUUCUAACGUUGACCCGUAAUCCGGGUUGCGGACAGUGUCUGGUGGGUAGUUUGACUGGGGCGGUCUCCUCCUAAAGAGUAACGGAGGAGCACGAAGGUUGGCUAAUCCUGGUCGGACAUCAGGAGGUUAGUGCAAUGGCAUAAGCCAGCUUGACUGCGAGCGUGACGGCGCGAGCAGGUGCGAAAGCAGGUCAUAGUGAUCCGGUGGUUCUGAAUGGAAGGGCCAUCGCUCAACGGAUAAAAGGUACUCCGGGGAUAACAGGCUGAUACCGCCCAAGAGUUCAUAUCGACGGCGGUGUUUGGCACCUCGAUGUCGGCUCAUCACAUCCUGGGGCUGAAGUAGGUCCCAAGGGUAUGGCUGUUCGCCAUUUAAAGUGGUACGCGAGCUGGGUUUAGAACGUCGUGAGACAGUUCGGUCCCUAUCUGCCGUGGGCGCUGGAGAACUGAGGGGGGCUGCUCCUAGUACGAGAGGACCGGAGUGGACGCAUCACUGGUGUUCGGGUUGUCAUGCCAAUGGCACUGCCCGGUAGCUAAAUGCGGAAGAGAUAAGUGCUGAAAGCAUCUAAGCACGAAACUUGCCCCGAGAUGAGUUCUCCCUGAC
rnacentral:rRNA from 1 species